AAUGCAAGCCGUUCUAUCGCCGUAUCUUAAUGGUAAGGAGGAAAGUCCGGGCAACAUAGAGCAUCUCGCUUCCUAACGGGAAGGCAUUUAGGAUUGAAAACCUGAAUGACGGAAUAGUGCCACAGAGAAUAUACCGCCACGAUUUAUCGGGGUAAGGGUGAAAACGUGAGGUAAGAGCUCACGAACUCGCUAAGCGAUUAGUGUUUUGGUAAACCCCGGGAGUUGAAAGACCAAAUAGGCUAACGCAUGUAGGGCUGCUUCGUCCGAUGUUAGUGGGUAGGUCGUUAAAGAUAAAUGGCAACAUUUAUAUUAGAUUAAUGAUAGAAAACUGAUUUAUCAGGAACAGAACCCGGCUUAUAGGCUUGCAUUUUUU
rnacentral:RNase_P_RNA from 1 species